rnacentral:rRNA from 1 species
UAGGGAAUCUUCCGCAAUGGACGAAAGUCUGACGGAGCAACGCCGCGUGAGUGAUGAAGGUUUUCGGAUCGUAAAACUCUGUUGUUAGGGAAGAACAAGUUGGGUAGUAACUGACCCAACCUUGACGGUACCUAACCAGAAAGCCACGGCUAACUACGUGCCAGCAGCCGCGGUAAUACGUAGGCGGCAAGCGUUGUCCGGAAUUAUUGGGCGUAAAGCGCUCGCAGGCGGUCUUUUAAGUCUGAUGUGAAAGCCCACGGCUUAACCGUGGAGGGUCAUUGGAAACUGGAGGACUUGAGUACAGAAGAGGAGAGUGGAAUUCCACGUGUAGCGGUGAAAUGCGUAGAGAUGUGGAGGAACACCAGUGGCGAAGGCGACUCUCUGGUCUGUAACUGACGCUGAGGAGCGAAAGCGUGGGUAGCGAACAGG